AGUCCGCACGCCGGCCGGCAGCUCGGCGAGGGCUGGGAGGGGCCUGACGCGCCCACAACUUGGGCGGGGCCAGGGUCGGAGCAUGGACUCAGCUUCCUAGAGAAGAUUCCAGCCUGGGAAGUCAAGGGAAGACCUGGUGAGGGAAGAUAGGUCAUCGUGGUGGAAAUUUCCAGAUCAUUUGCCCACCUGCCUCUGGGAGGACGUCUUGAAGGCCGCCAGGCUGUGCUUGUCAGAUGCUGAGGAAGCACUGUUGGGGGCCCCUGGUCUCAGAAGUUUUGUCAGCCUGACUUCUCGAGAGAUACCACCAGAAGAACUAUGUCUACCUCGGUGUUUCUCCCAGAAUGAAUGCUGUGUCCCCCAGUUCCAGGCCGUGCACUUUCCUUUGAACAUCCGUCUGCAUCCUACAUCCCUGCCCCUCUGCCCACAUGCCGCUCCUUCCUGUUUAGCUUGGAUAGCAGGCUGGCUCUGGCCAUCAGAACCAUUGCUGACCUUGGCUGUCUUCACCUGCUGGGCAGACACAAAGUGAGGCCAACAUCUGGACCCAGAGGAGAAAUUAGAGGCCAUUUGUGGAAGCACUCAGGAGGCCGGAAGGCCUCUGUCCAAGGCCAAAACACCACACCAUUGUUUUCCAGUUCCAAACAGGAAGGGAACCUGGGUGUGCUUGGGCAAAGGAAAGGGAACCUGAGGUGGAUGUAAGUGUGGCAAGUGAUCUCGAGUUAAAAAGGGGCCACAGUUUCUUCUAAUAAACAGCGUAUACUGUUCUGUAUCCU